AUGGUAAAGGGCCUUCUCUUCCCUGUUCUUCCUGGAGUCAGGAAAAGCUGGGUUGAGAUGGGGGAAAAAUAUGAUA
rnacentral:pre_miRNA from 1 species